UACGGGGGGGGGCAAGCGUUGUUCGGAAUUACUGGGCGUAAAGGGUGCGUAGGCGGCGCGGUAAGUCGGGUGUGAAAUCUUGGAGCUUAACUCCGAAACUGCAUUCGAUACUGCCGUGCUUGAGGACUGGAGAGGAGACUGGAAUUUACGGUGUAGCGGUGAAAUGCGUAGAUAUCGUAAGGAAGACCAGUGGCGAAGGCGGGUCUCUGGACAGUUCCUGACGCUGAGGCACGAAGGUCAGGGGAGCAAACGGG
rnacentral:rRNA from 1 species